rnacentral:rRNA from 2 species
GGAGCUUGCUCCCUGAAGUCAGCGGCGGACGGGUGAGUAGCACGUGGGCCACCUGCCUGUAAGACUGGGAUAACUCCGGGAAACCGGGGCUAAUACCGGAUAAUUCUUUCCCUCACAUGAGGGAAAGCUGAAAGAUGGUUUCGGCUAUCACUUACAGAUGGGCCCGCGGCGCAUUAGCUAGUUGGCGAGGUAACGGCUCACCAAGGCAACGAUGCGUAGCCGACCUGAGAGGGUGAUCGGCCACACUGGGACUGAAACCCGGCCCAAACUCCUACGGGAGGCAGCAGUAGGGAAUCUUCCGCAAUGGACGAAAGUCUGACGGAGCAACGCCGCGUGAGUGAUGAAGGUUUUCGGAUCGUAAAACUCUGUUGUUAGGGAAGAACAAGUACCGGAGUAACUGCCGGUACCUUGACGGUACCUAACCAGAAAGCCACGGCUAACUACGUGCCAGCAGCCGCGGUAAUACGUAGGUGGCAAGCGUUGUCCGGAAUUAUUGGGCGUAAAGCGCGCGCAGGCGGUUCCUUAAGUCUGAUGUGAAAGCCCCCGGCUCAACCGGCGAGGGUCAUUGGAAACUGUGGAACUUGAGUGCAGAAGAUAAGAGUGGGAAUUCCACGUGUAGCGGUGAAAUGCGUAGAGAUGUGGAGGAACACCAGUGGCGACUGGCGACUCUUUGGUCUGUAACUGACGCUGAGGCGCGAAAGCGUGGGGAGCAAACAGGAUGAUAUACCCU